UACGUAGGGUGCAAGCGUUAAUCGGAAUUACUGGGCGUAAAGCGUGCGCAGGCGGUUUUGUAAGUUUGUCGUGAAAUCCCCGGGCUCAACCUGGGAAUUGCGAUGAAGACUGCAAGGCUAGAAUCUGGCAGAGGGGGGGUAGAAUUCCACGUGUAGCAGUGAAAUGCGUAGAGAUGUGGAGGAAUACCGAUGGCGAAGGCAGCCCCCCUGGGAUAACACUGACGCUCAUGCACGAAAGGCGUGGGGAGCAAACGAGGAUUACGAA
rnacentral:rRNA from 1 species